rnacentral:rRNA from 1 species
GUGAGGAAUUUUCCGCAAUGGGCGAAAGCCUGACGGAGCAAUGCCGCGUGAAGGAUGAAGGCCUAUGGGUUGUAAACUUCUUUUCUCAGAAAAGAAUUAUGACGGUAUCUGAGGAAUAAGCAUCGGCUAACUCUGUGCCAGCAGCCGCGGUAAGACAGAGGAUGCAAGCGUUAUCCGGCAUGAUUGGGCGUAAAGCGUCUGUAGGUUGUUUAAAAAGUAUUCUGUCAAAGAUUAGGGCUUAACCCUAGAUAGGCAGAAUAAACUUUUAAGCUAGAGUUUGGUAGAGGCAGAGGGAAUUCCCGGUGGAGCGGUGAAAUGCGUAGAUAUCGGGAGGAACACCAAAGGCGAAGGCACUCUGCUGGGCCAAUACUAACACUGAGAGACGAAAGCGAGGGGAGCAAAUGGGAUUAGAUACCCGAGUAGUCC